AGAGCUUGCUUUCUCGAGCGAGUGGCGAACGGGUGAGUAACGCGUGAGGAACCUGCCUCAAAGAGGGGGACAACAGUUGGAAACGACUGCUAAUACCGCAUAAGCCCACGACCCGGCAUCGGGUAGAGGGAAAAGGAGCAAUCCGCUUUGAGAUGGCCUCGCGUCCGAUUAGCUAGUUGGUGAGGUAACGGCCCACCAAGGCGACGAUCGGUAGCCGGACUGAGAGGUUGAACGGCCACAUUGGGACUGAGACACGGCCCAGACUCCUACGGGAGGCAGCAGUGGGGAAUAUUGCACAAUGGGGGAAACCCUGAUGCAGCGACGCCGCGUGGAGGAAGAAGGUCUUCGGAUUGUAAACUCCUGUUGUUGAGGAAGAUAAUGACGGUACUCAACAAGGAAGUGACGGCUAACUACGUGCCAGCAGCCGCGGUAAAACGUAGGUCACAAGCGUUGUCCGGAAUUACUGGGUGUAAAGGGAGCGCAGGCGGGAAGGCAAGUUGGAAGUGAAAUCCAUGGGCUCAACCCAUGAACUGCUUUCAAAACUGUUUUUCUUGAGUAGUGCAGAGGUAGGCGGAAUUCCCGGUGUAGCGGUGGAAUGCGUAGAUAUCGGGAGGAACACCAGUGGCGAAGGCGGCCUACUGGGCACCAA
rnacentral:rRNA from 1 species